CAGCUCUGCCCUGCGAUGCAAGCUGAGGAGGAGCUGCUGCAGCGCGCUGCUUCCCUCACCACACAGUACCUGCGGCAGCUGCUCUGCAGGUCCCCUGCUGUGCAAAUCGCCCUUCACAGAGGAAGAUCUUCCUGUCAGUGACUGACGAGAGGUGCCAGGAGCAGGCUAGGAGACUUUUAAAACCCAUAACUUGGCAAAUCAGCAGGGCUUUAUGAAGGAAGCUGGAGGCAGUUCUCAUUAGUCUCACUGACAUCUUUUAUCACUUAUCAGAGGAACAAGCAAACGGAGAGCAAUUCCUUUGAUCAUGGCAAAAGUAGAAAGAGUAUUAAAAACCCUAUGAAGAUUCACUAAGUAGAAAGUGGAAAAGACAGUCUGUGGCAUGUUUCAAAGAAGUAACAUGAUUUAAAGUUGCCAGAUUUGCUUGUAUAUAUUAAAGAAUUGUUAAUGAUGCUACAUUUUACAUGCAUCCUAGGGUUUUUUUGUUUUUGUUUUUUUUUGUUUGAGAAAGAGGCGAAGGAGUUCUUAAGUAGAAUGAUCAGUUGGAACAUAUCUCUAAAGGGUGAACUACGACAGAAAGGAAUUCUGUGAUUCAAUGAAAAUUGUUGAAAAUAAAAAUAAGGUUGUAUGGUAGCACAAUGGGUCAGAAAGAAA